AGAAACAGCAAAGACCCCUCCUCAUCUGUCAUGAUGUUUCCUGCCAGUAAAGCUUCCAACGUUCUUCAUACAGAACUCACACACUUGAGAACUUGGUCCCUGGACUAAAUCACUGGCAAAGAGGAAAGGACCAUCAUGGACCAUCCUUCAGAGUCAGGUACAUGGUCACCCAAAUGUGAUGCGUUCAGUAGAGAAAGGAGGAAUCAAUAUCGGUCUGCUAACCAGCAAAGUCGGCCACAAACAUUGUGCCAAGUCACCACAUAUAACAAACCAUCAGUGUUAGUAAGCUCACUUCAUUCCAUCCCAUAAGAGUUGGAGUCUCCUGGUGGUUACCCCUGCUUCUGCACAGAUGGACGCACAGGGAAGCCAGGUCACGUAUGAUGUCACACCAGAAGCUAAGUUUCCUCCAGGAAGCAACUGGAAGCAAGAGAUGUGGUGUCCUGGAAGGACAUCAUUUCCCAGGAGUCAGGCCCUAAAUGUUCAUGGUGAAGUUGCUCAGAGUGGAGCUACUCUGAGGGCCCCUCACGGCAAACACCUAUCCAGAGCCUUGGAGCCAUCCCAACAGGGCCACUGGACUCCUCGCCCUCUCCUCUGCUCCUACCCAGCCCUACCCACCCCCUGGACUGCGGCUCUCUCUCCCCGGCUGGCUCUGUCUUUGUCCUUGUUGUCCAUUCUCAGGCCUGAAUCCACUGCAGAUGGACCUCAGAUCUGCCCUUCCCCCCAAACCCUCAAUGCCCCCUGGGGCACCCAGAGAAGACCCAUGGUCCUGGUGUGCCCGCAGGUCCCGGCCUCGCCCAUCCUCCCUACCUGGCUGUUCUCAGCCACCUCACUCACCCCACUGGCUUCAAACACGCUGGCCUGCCUGGGGCCCUGACCCUGCUCUUACCCCCAUCUGGAACGUUCCUGCUCUCUCUCCCUCCCCGUCUUCUGGUCUCUUACAGCCAGGCCUUCUCGCAGUCCUAGUCAAAUGUGGCAGCACCCCGGUCCCCAUCUCUAAGUCAUGGCCCCGCGUUGAUCUGCCUCAGACACAUGGAGGCAUAGUUUAUUUAGUUAUUGAUUAUCCGCCCCACACACCUGUGUCCACUCCAGUGAGAGGAGGCUUUUCUCCUAUUUUGCCCACUGUGUGUCCAGGAUAAGAAUGACUUACCUGCAGCAGGUCCUUAAUCAGUAUUUGUUGAAUAAAUAAAUUCUCAAAAUGUCAUUAGGC